rnacentral:rRNA from 11 species
UCCAAUGCCAGUAAUGUGCCUAAAGGCCCCAGAUCCUAUCUGAUCUUGGAAGGUAAACAGAGUCAAUCCUGCUUAAUACCUGGAUGGAGAUUGCAAAUGAAUACCAGGUGCUGUAGGCU